rnacentral:lncRNA from 1 species
UCUGGGGCACUUAACCACUGAGCCCCAUCCCCAGCUCUUUUUAAUAUUUUAUUUAGAGACAGGGUUUCACAGAGUUGCUUAGGGCCUCACUAAGUGGCUGAUGCUGCCUCAGACUUGUGAUUCUCCUGCCCCAGCCUCCAGAGUUGGUGGAAUUACCACCUUUAACUUUUGAUUAUUUAUGUUGACUUCUAAGGGAAUAUUGAUGAGGGCACUGGGGAUUGAACCCAGGGGCGCUUUGACACUGAGUCAUAUCCCUAGCCCUUUUAAUUUUAUUUGAAAAAGUAUUAUUAUUGUUAUUGUUGUUGUUAUUACUAUUAUUGUUACUGGGAGUUGAACCCAGGGGUGUUUACCACUGACCUAUAUACCCAUAUUUUUUUUCUUUUUUCUUUGGAGGGAGGGUCUUGCUAAAUUUCUGAGUCUGGCCUCAAAUUUGUAAUUCUCCUAUUUCAGCCCACCCAGUGGCUGAGAUUAUAAGUGUGUGCCACCUCACACAACCCAACUUCUAGAAUUACUAUUCUCAUGUGAACAGUUGUUUUGUGCUGUGGGUAUGACAACUGUAUUUUAUUUAUAUAUUUUUAAUUUUUAAAUAUUUUUGUUACUGGAAAUUGAAUCCAGAGGCACUUUUACCACUGAGCCUUUGUUUUUAGCUUUUAUUUUGAGACUGGUUCUCUCUAAAUUGCGCAGGACCUCCAUAGCUGAGACUGGCCUUGAACUUGCGAUCCUCCUGCCUCAGCCUCUGAAGUUGCUGAGACUGUAGCCAUGUGCCACUGUUUCUGGCUCUUUUUUAUUUUUUUGGAGUGGGUUUGGGACUUGAUUUUGGAUAAGAAAUUUGAAGACCUAACCAGGAUUGAAUGUUCUGACAUAUGUAGCUAUUUGAGGAAUUUCUAGUUGGUUUAAGCUAUAAAUGUUUAUGGAAUAUGAUUCCAGAAAAAAAGAAAAGAAAAAAAAAACAGAUUUAUUUAGUAGGAAAAGAUGUAGUCUUAGAGACCACCAUUUUGAUUUCAGCAUAAUGUUAGCUGACAUUACGGAUUUUUUUCGUUUCUUUUUGAGUCAGGGUCUUGCCUUAUUUCCCAGGCUGGCUUCAAACUCCUGGGCUCAAUUGAUCCUCCUGCCUCAGCCUCCCAAGUAACUGGAACUAGAGGUGUGACCACCACAUUCAGCAAGAAUACUUUCCUUUAGCCUAGAACCUUCCCGGGCAAUGCCAAGCUUGUGAGAAGCAUUAUGUUUCAGAGAAUGAGGGCUUUGUCGACAUACACACCUGGGUUCAAAUCCAGGUCUUUCCCAGCUGUAUAACCAUGGACAAAUUGCUCCACCUCCUCCUCUUGGUUUCCUCAUGUCUGCAAUAGGAAUGCUAUUAUCCACUCUAAAGAUUGGGUAAUUGUUAAGCACAAUGUGGUUUUAGUGCUUGUCAAAUAGGCACUCAGGGCACAUCACCCCUUUUGAAAGGGACCUGGGGAAGGGAAUUGUAUACAUGAUCAACAGCCUGUGUAGUAGGAGGUAAAGCAAUGCAAUUGGGUCCUCUACGCAAGGGCAGGACAUCCCUUGCCCCCACCCCUUCCCUGGGUACUAAGCAUUGAACCCAGGGGCACUUAACCACUGAGCCACAUCCCCAGCCCUUUUCAUAUUUUAUUUUGAGACAGGGUCUCGCUGAGUUGGUUAGGACCUUCCUAAAUUGCUGAGGCUGGCCUUGAAUUUGAGAUCCUCCUGCCUCAGCCUCCCUAGUCGCAGGGAUUAUAGGCCUGCAUCACCAUGCCUGGCAAAGUCAAGAAAUUCUAAAACCAUUUCCUUUGCUCACAUACACCUAUAGCUAAUAUAAUAUAGCUAAUGUCUCUCACGUACUGGAAGUUGAGCUCAAUAUGGAAGAACUUCUACCUGUUUCAAUGUUUUAUCCCCAAGAUCUGAAACAUAGUUCAUUAGAUGCCUUAGAGUGAAUGAAUAAAUAAACAAGUGAAUGGAUUAAUCUUACCUGAUAAAGCAGAGAAACUCACUGCUAUGUAACUAAAAAUAUAUCAGUCUCUGCUCUUCACCUCCUUUUCUUGAGUGUGCUUCCUUUGAUAUAAAGUGGUGUGUUUGUCAGCUGUUCUCAUAGUUAUGUUAACAAUUAUCCUGAAGGUCAGUGCUUCAAACAACAAUCCUUUAUUUUCAUGCACACAGGUCUAUAGAUGGAGUGCAACUUGGACUGAACUAGGCUGGCCCUUGAUCCUGAGCUCCAAACUUCAGGUAGAAUCCAGCUGUGAUGCAUGUAUCUCAUUAUCCUUGCAACAGGGGCAUGCGAUUUGUUCCCCGGGUCUCAUUCUGUGCCCAAGGUGAAGGGAAUGGGCGUGUGGGUGUUGGCAUCAUCUCUCUAAGCUGGGCUGACUUUUGGGUUUUCCCAUAAGCUGCAGCAUGAGUAGUCAUCCUCCUCACAAUCACAGUGGGUGGAUUUGGGACCUGCUAGACAGGCAAAUACCCAGACUUCACAUUCCCCUCCCAAAGUUAAGCUCAAUCUCCCAGAGGCAGCAAGCUACGAGGAAUAAGAAAGCUGUAUUUGUGUCUGUUAAUGGAUACUGUCUUUAACUCCUAAACUUUCUGGAAGGGACUUAAGUAACUUCUUGGCCAAGAUCUCUUGUUCCCAGUUUUCAUGGAGAUAAAAGCAAGAUAUAGUAUAUUCCUCAAGUUAAACAUGUAUAACUAAUCAUGGAAGGAUGACAGAAAAAUACAAAAAUUCAGUGUGACUACAACAAACCUUUGUGAUUCUUCAGUCUUCAUCCAUAUCCCAACCUCUCCUUUCACCCAUACUCCUGUGGCUUACCACAGAUGUCUACAGGUGAAACCAUCAGACAGGAGAUCCUGUGACCUAUCUCUGUACCCCGACCUACUGUCUUAUAUACAUGCCCACCCACCUUUGCUUUCUUCUAUCCUCCUGGCCAAGACAAAUCCUGAUGUCUCUGCCACAAUCUCAUUCAAAUUUCCAAUGUGCCAAAUCACCCCCUUUCUCCGUUUCAUCCUCAAUUACUUCCUUACCAAAUGCCUUUUGUCUGAUGGCCAUUUGAGUCUCUUUCAUCUUAAAAAGCAAAAUGUGUCUUGGUUGACUUUGUAUUUCUCUCUAGAUUCUGCUACAUAUAGUUGUCUAUGAAAUCUAACUUUAAAAAAGGAAAAGAGACUCCUGUAGGAAAUGGUGGUCCUUGGGAGACAAAGCUAGUUAAGGUAGGGAAUGUCAGAUGGUAAUGUGAUAUGAAUGAGCUAAAUGUUAAUUGUUGAGUGAUAAAGGAGACAAGAAACAAAGAAUUAAAUCUAAGAAAUGAGUUCAGGAAGGUUGCUGGUCAAUGCAUAAAAAUCAAAAGUAUUUGACUAAUGUUAUAACGGGGAUCUGAGGUGUCCCCCUAAAUUUUCUGUUAAUGCAGGAAUAGUCAGAGGUAGAAUGAUUAGAUUAUGAAAGCUGUGAUGACCUCAUCAGUCCAUCCUAGUUUGAAUGGACUGACUGGGUGGUAACUGCGGUCAGGUGGGUCGUGGCUGGAGGAGGGGCUCCCUGGGGCAUGCCUUGGAAGGGUUCAGCGUCUCUGUGGCUCCUUCCCCUUCCUCUCUCUCUUUCUCUGCUUCCUGACUCCACCAUGAGCUGAGCAUCUUUCCUUGGCCUCCCCCCAUGAUGUGCUGCCUCACUUUAGGCCCAGAGCAAUGGAGUCUGCCAUCUGUGGACUGAAGCCUCUGAAACCAUGAGCCUCAAAUAAACUGUUGCUCCUCUAAGUUGUUCUUGGUGAUUAUUUUGGUCAUAGUGGUGCAAAUACUGACUAAAACAACUACGUUGCCAGGCAUAGUGGCCCCAUGCCUGUAAUCCCAAUGGCUUGGGAGGGUGAAGCAGGAGGAGUACAAGUUUAAAGCCAGCCUCAGCAACUUAGCAAACCCUUAAGCAAUUUAGCGAGACUCUGUCUCAAAAUAAAAAAUAAAAAAAAAGGAUGGGGAUGGGGCUUAGUAGUUAAGUGCCCCUGGGUUCAAUUCCCAAUACCAAAACAAGAACUAUACAAUUAUGUUAGCAAUAAUCCACUUUAGAAUGCAAUUAAAAAUACAUGAGAACAUUCAAAAUAAUCAUCAAAAAACCAUAAAAUAGGCU